CUGUAUUGCACUGCAGUCACAUUGCACAUAGGGGAUGUAACAUGCAAUGCAACUACAAUGCACUACAG